AUUGUAUUUGAAUUGGUCCAUGGUUUCUGUCGAGAAGCAACAAUCGAAUACUGCAAGCACUGAACAUGCCAGUCAUUUUGUCUUCAUGUCAAACUGGACUUGUAAGCAUAUUCACGAAGAUUCAGCAGCAUGGUGCAAGGCUGACAGGCACUACUUGUUCAUAACAAUCAGAUACGGGAAUAGCAACACUGCAUGAUAAUUUUUGGAGUCUCUGUUCGGACAGUUCAGUAACAUAUUGAAAACCUAUACGACUCACAAGAUUUAAGUGUUGUGAUGAUUGGACAAGGAGCAUCAGAUCAUGUCGUUGUCUUGUCCCCUAUUUAAGUCUUAUUCUAGUUUUCAAAUUAUAAUUGCAUGGUAGUCAUCAGCCCCUGCUUUGCCUUAGUUAGACAGCUACUUCUUUUCCACAGGUUAGAACAGCACAUUCAUUUGCAUUGGCCUAAGUAAACUAGAGUGGCUUAAAAAAAGAAGCUAAUGCAGCACAUACAUAAUGUACGCAUUAGUGAUAAAAUAUGUGGAAAAGGAAUAAAAUCUAGUAGUAGCAGUUUCUUCCCGUCAAGACCAAAUCAUUACGUAAAACUUCUAAAUUUAUGAGGCUAUAAAAGAGCUAUAAAAACACAAAAUCACGAGCAAUUCCAUGACCGCUUGUAUCCUUGGUGAAUUGCCCCAACAUUUCGAGAGGACGAGGCAAGAUGUCGGUCGAGGACGUCGGCGUGUAGUCGCCCGAGGCGUCGCCGGGGCACUACGUGGGGCGGGUCGACGAGGUGCCGCCCGAUGAUGACGGCUGCGACGACGCCCUUGAGGCCGACGGGCGGGGCACCGGGGAUGAUGACCCCUUCGACAUCCCCGCCGAGCGCAAGCCGGUCGAGAGGCUAUGGCGGUGGAGGGUUGCUAUGACGCGGACAAGCUGCUGCUGCAGGUGGACGAAUCCUCAUGGAUGCUCAACCUAUCUCUCCUACGACCACAC